rnacentral:rRNA from 1 species
GAUGAACGCUGGCGGCGUGCCUAAUACAUGCAAGUCGAGCGAACAGACGAGGAGCUUGCUCCUCUGACGUUAGCGGCGGACGGGUGAGUAACACGUGGAUAACCUACCUAUAAGACUGGGAUAACUUCGGGAAACCGGAGCUAAUACCGGAUAAUAUAUUGAACCGCAUGGUUCAAUAGUGAAAGACGGUUUUGCUGUCACUUAUAGAUGGAUCCGCGCCGCAUUAGCUAGUUGGUAAGGUAACGGCUUACCAAGGCAACGAUGCGUAGCCGACCUGAGAGGGGGCUCGGCCCCCCUGGAACUGAGACACGGUCCAGACUCCUACGGGAGGCAGCAGUAGGGAAUCUUCCGCAAUGGGCGAAAGCCUGACGGAGCAACGCCGCGGGAGGAAUGAAGGUUUUCGGAUCGUAAACCUCUUUUAUUGGGGAAAAACAAAUGUGUAAGUAACUAUGCCCGUUUUGCCGGUACCUAACCAGAAAGCCCCGGCUAACUACGU